UUUUAACCGAGUAUUAACCUUACCCGUGCAGCCUUGCAGAUGUUCCGACCUUUCGGAAUCUCGAGUGGCUCUGCCCACUCUGUUUGACGCCUCCCUGUUGAACUUGCACAGAGCCGCUUUCGGGCGGCUCUUUUUU
rnacentral:sRNA from 1 species